GCCCCGGUAGCACAAUCGGUUAGCGCGCCGUACUUAUAAUGCGGAGGUUGUGAGUUCGAUCCUCACCCGGGGCA
rnacentral:tRNA from 1 species